rnacentral:rRNA from 1 species
UGGGGAAUCUUGGACAAUGGGGAACCCGUAGCAUCCAGCCAUGCCGCGUGAGUGAUGAAGGCCUUCGGGUUGUAAAGCUCUUUUACCCGGGAAGAUAAUGACUGUACCGGGAGAAUAAGCUCCGGCUAACUUCGUGCCAGCAGCCGCGGUAAUACGAAGGGGGUAGCGUUGUUCGGAAUUACUGGGCGUAAAGCGUGCGCAGGCGGUUUCCCAAGUCAGUGGUGAAAGCCCGGAGCUCAACUCCGGAAUUGCCAUUGAAACUGUGGAACUCGAGGACGAGAGAGGUGAGUGGAAGUUCCCAGUGUAGAGGUGAAAUUCGUAGAUAUUGGGAAGAACACC